rnacentral:tRNA from 1 species
GGAGAGGUGUCUGAGCUGGUCGAAGGAGCCCGACUCGAAAUCGGGUAGGCGGUCCAAGAAGCCGUCUCGUGGGUUCGAAUCCCACCCUCUCCGCCA